rnacentral:rRNA from 1 species
CAAUAGCGUAUAUUAAAGCUGUUGCGGUUAAAAAGCUCGUAGUUGGAUUUCUGUCAAGGACAACUGGUCCGCCCUCCGGGUGAGCACAUAGUUUGGUCUUGACAUCUUGCUGGAAGCUGUUGCUGCACUUGGCUGUGUGGCGCAGUGUUCAGCACUUUCACUUUGAGGAAAUUGGAGUGUUUCAAGCAGGCACAUGCCUUUGGACACAGUAGCAUGGAAUAAUUAGAUUGGGCUUUUGCUCCAAUUUGUCGGUUUCUGGAGCUGAGGUGAGUAUUAAUGGGGAUUGUUGGGGGCAUCCGAAUUUAGCCGUCAGAGGUGAAAUUCUUGGAUUUGCUAAAGACGGACUACUGCGAAAGCAUUUGCCAAGGAUGUUUNCAUUG